AUCCAGCUGACGCGUCCCAAAUAGGACGGAACGAGCGUCGUGGAU
rfam:Schistosoma rodhaini strain Burundi genome assembly, scaffold: SROB_scaffold0018642